rnacentral:rRNA from 1 species
CAUUAUACCGUGAAACUGCGAAUGGCUCAUUAAAUCAGUUAUCGUUUAUUUGAUAAUACCUUACUACUUGGAUAACCGUGGUAAUUCUAGAGCUAAUACAUGCUGAAAAUCCCGACUUCGGAAGGGAUGUGUUUAUUAGAUAAAAAACCAAUGCCCUUCGGGGCUUUUUGGUGAUUCAUGAUAACUUUACGGAUCGCAUAGCCUUGCGCUGGCGACGGUUCAUUCAAAUUUCUGCCCUAUCAACUUUCGAUGGUAAGGUAUUGGCUUACCAUGGUUUCAACGGGUAACGGGGAAUUAGGGUUCGAUUCCGGAGAGGGAGCCUGAGAAACGGCUACCACAUCCAAGGAAGGCAGCAGGCGCGCAAAUUACCCAAUCCCGACACGGGGAGGUAGUGACAAUAAAUACUGAUACAGGGCUCUUUUGGGUCUUGUAAUUGGAAUGAGUACAAUUUAAACCUCUUAACGAGGAACAAUUGGAGGGCAAGUCUGGUGCCAGCAGCCGCGGUAAUUCCAGCUCCAAUAGCGUAUAUUAAAGUUGUUGCAGUUAAAAAGCUCGUAGUUGAAACUUGGGCCUGGCUGGCGGGUCCGCCUCACCGCGUGCACUCGUCCGGCCGGGCCUUCCUUCUGAAGAACCUCAUGCCCUUCACUGGGCGUGCUGGGGAAUCAGGACUUUUACUUUGAAAAAAUUAGAGUGUUCAAAGCAGGCCUUUGCUCGAAUACGUUAGCAUGGAAUAAUAAAAUAGGGCGUGCGUUUCUAUUUUGUUGGUUUCUAGAGACGCCGCAAUGAUUAACAGGAACAGUCGGGGGCAUCAGUAUUCAGUUGUCAGAGGUGAAAUUCUUGGAUUUACUGAAGACUAACUACUGCGAAAGCAUUUGCCAAGGAUGUUUUCAUUAAUCAGUGAA